GUCAGCGCCGAUAGAACUUUGAAUGCACCAGUUUCCAAUGGAACACUGAAGUUAAGCAACGUUUGCCCGUGGUUGGUAUACGGAUAAGUGACCAUCUGGACAAUCGCAUACUACUCGAU
rnacentral:rRNA from 1 species